ACUUAAUUUUUCCUUGUAUAAGGGGGUUCAAGAGAUUAACCUACUAAAAGCUCUUAAGCGCUACUGGAUACUCUUAAGAUUAAAUGUUACGAACGCGAUUAUGUCUUUUUGGCUGAACCUGUAUAAUUCUCUGGUGAUAUUUCUCUUACCCUUAACUCUUUAUUUUUUUGCAUAUUUACUUUAUGUUGCUAUUUCUAAA
rnacentral:lncRNA from 1 species